rnacentral:pre_miRNA from 1 species
GGAACAUGAGCAUGGCCAUUGAUACGGUUUGGCUCUGUGUCCCCACCCAAAAUCAUGUCGGAUUGUAAUUCCCAGUGUUGGAGGUAGGGCCUGGUGGGAGGUGAUUGGAUCAUGGUGGCAGAGUUCUCAUGAGUGGUUUAGCACCAUGCCUCAUUAGUACUGGUUUUAUAGUGGGAGAGUGGUCAUGAUCUGUUUUUUUUUUUUUAAAGUGUGUGGCACCUCCCGACUCUCUUCCUCCUGCUCUUGCCAUGUAAGACAUGCCUGCUUUUCCUUUGCCUUCUGCCAUGAUUAUAAGUUUCCUGAGGCCUGCCCAGAAGUAGAAGCCACUAUGCUGCUUGUACAGCCUGCAGAACUAUGAGCCGUUAAACCUUCUUAUAAAUUACCCAGUCUUGGGUAUUUCUUUAUAGCAAUGCAAGAACAGACUAAUACAGAAAAUUGGUACUUGGAGUGGUGCAUUGCUAUAAAGAUACCUGAAAAUGUGGAAUCAACCUUGGAAUCGGGUAAUAAGCAGAGGUUGGAGGAGUACAGAGAGCUCAGAAGAGGACAAAGAUGAGGGAAAGUUUGAACUUCCUAGAGACUUACUGAAUGGUUGUGACCAAAAUACUCAUAUGGACAAUGAGGCCCAGGUCUCAGACAGAGAUGAAGAAUAUAUUGGCAACUGGAGAAAAUGUCACUUUUGUUAUGUGUUAGCAAAGAGCUAAG